GACGAACGCUGGCGGCGGGCUUAACACAUGCAAGUCGAACGGAAAGGCCCUGCUUUUGUGGGGUGCUCGAGUGGCGAACGGGUGAGUAACACGUGAGUAACCUGCCCUUGACUUUGGGAUAACUUCAGGAACCUGGGGCUAAUACCGGGUAGGAGCUCCUGCUGCAUGGUGGGGGUUGGAAAGUUUCGGCGGUUGGGGAUGGACUCGCGGCUUAUCAGCUUGUGGGUGGGGUAGUGGCUUACCAAGGCUUUGACGGGUAGCCGGCCUGAGAGGGUGACCGGCCACAUUGGGACUGAGAUACGGCCCGGACUCCUACGGGAGGCAGCAGUGGGGAAUAUUGCACAAUGGGCGGAAGCCUGAUGCAGCAACGCCGCGUGCGGGAUGACGGCCUUCGGGUUGUAAACCGCUUUCGCCUGUGACGAAGCGUGAGUGACGGUAAUGGGUAAAGAAGCACCGGCUAACUACGUG
rnacentral:rRNA from 1 species